GCACAGCAAGUGACAACCGCGAAACCGGAAACUGAAACUAGUUUUUUCAUUGGUCGCUGAACUGAGAAGACUUGAUUUAAUGUUUCGUGGUGCUAACUAACUUAGUCUAGAAAUCAGAUUUCGCGUGCAACAAUAGCAGAAAUCGCAAUUCUCGUUCGGAUCGGAUGCGUUGAACACCAGUCUAUUUAAAGGUAUAUCAGUGUGAAAUCAAAAUCUUUCCAAACACCUCCUGGAGACAUAAAUGGCCGGCGACGUUCACACUUGGGGAGUUUUAGAAGCAGAUCAAUGGGUGAGGCAGAGGGUCCAAUCGAUGGAUACAAGUCUAUAUUUUAGGAAAGUUGAUCAGCCUUGGAGGCUGCGUGUUUUCUCUGUGCCUGCAAACACUGUGCGUGUGAAAUACGGCAGACAGAGGAGGAUAGUCACAGAUGAGUUUGAUAUUCUGCUUGAAAAAGGGAUGAAGAGGAUGUGUAACGAUAGACCAGCAUCACAGUCACGGAUACAGCGCUUCAUCUGGAGCCAUCAAGAGUCUGACGCAGACGCAGACGCAGAGAGGAGACACUAAAGGCAAACUAAAGCUUCCCCCAACACUGCAAAUUAUGCACCUUCUUCAGUCUCUGUCUGAUUUCAAGAUGUUUACAAGAAAAUUGCAUAUACGUUAGAUAAAUGACUCAAGCUCUAGACACUUAAAGGUGCUGUCAUUUAUUGACUGUCAUAAAGCUUAAAAGUACCAUGGUAUGUGUGCGGAUAUUUAGGACACAUGCUAAGCUCACAUGAUUGUUGUUUUUGUCUUCUCAAGAAACAACACUACAGCCAGUUAUUCUGCUUCGAAAUGCGUGGUCAGUGACAGAAUGUCUGUUUUUGAUUUGGUCUGUGUGACUCCGCCCACUGCCAAUUCACCCAAUAGGAAUUUAUUCUAAGAAUAGUGUUAUAAAAAUGUCAUUUUUCUGUACCUUUUAAUAUGAAUAAAAACGUAUUAAUCUGAAUGUUUGAUAAAUGUACAGUCCAUAUCUGUAGCACAACUCUCCGUUCCUGUCAUUGUCUCUGUUUCACAGAUAGAUAUAUAAUAAAAAAGAGCUGUUUACUUCUGCA